rnacentral:rRNA from 1 species
GAUCCUGGCUCAGGAUGAACGCUGGCGGCGUGCUUAACACAUGCAAGUCGAACGAAGAUGCCGGAGUGCUUGCACUUUGGCAGACUGAGUGGCGGACGGGUGAGUAACGCGUGGGUAACCUGCCUUGUACUGGGGGACAACAGUUGGAAACGACUGCUAAUACCGCAUAAGCGCACAGCUUCGCAUGAAGCAGUGUGAAAAACUCCGGUGGUACAAGAUGGACCCGCGUCUGAUUAGCUGGUUGGUGAGGGCAACGGGCCCACCAAGGCGACGAUCAGUAGCCGGCCUGAGAGGGUGAACGGCCACAUUGGGACUGAGACACGGCCCAAACUCCUACGGGAGGCAGCAGUGGGGAAUAUUGCACAAUGGGGGAAACCCUGAUGCAGCAACGCCGCGUGAGUGAAGAAGUAUUUCGGUAUGUAAAGCUCUAUCAGCAGGAAAGAAAAUGACGGUACCUGACUAAGAAGCCCCGGCUAACUACGUG